rnacentral:rRNA from 1 species
CCUACGUGGGUCAGCAGUGAGGAAUAUUGGUCAAUGGGCGCGAGCCUGAACCAGCCAAGUAGCGUGAAGGAUGACUGCCCUACGGGUUGUAAACUUCUUUUCUAAAGUACUAAAGUGAGUCCCUUGUGCCUUUUUGUAUUUACUUUAUGAAUAAGAAUCGGCUAACUCCGUGCCAGCAGCCGCGGUAAUACGGAGGGUCCGAGCUUUAUCUGGAUUUAUUGGGUUUAAGGGGAGCGUAGAUGGGUUGUGAAGUCAGUUGUGAAAGUUUGCGGCUCAACCGUAAAAUUGCAAUUGAUACUGGCAGCCUUGAGUACAGUUGAGGUAGGCGGAAUUCGUGGUGUAGCGGUGAAAUGCUUAGAUAUCACGAAGAACUCCGAGUGCGAAGGCAGCCUACUAAACUGCCACUGACAUUGAUGCUCGAAAGUGUGGGUAUCAAACAGGAUUAGAUACCCUUGUAGUC